CGCCUGUUUAUCAAAAACAUGUCCUUAUGAUUAAAAUUUAAGGUUUUACCUGCCCGAUGAUUAAUUGAAUGGCCGCAGUAUUUUGACUGUGCUAAGGUAGCAUAAUAAUUUGUUUUUUAAUUGAAAUCUAGAAUGAAAGGUUUGACGAAGUACUAACUUUUUUUAUUUGUAAUUUUUGAAUUUAAUUUAUUUGUUAAAAAGCAAAAUAUAAUUUUAAGGGACGAGAAGACCCUAUAGAUCUUUAUUUUUUGUAAUUAUGAAUUAUUUUAGUUUAUUUUAUCUUUAUUUUUAUUAAGAAUUUAAUUGGGGCGAUUUUUAAUUUUUCUUGACAUUAAUUAAAUUUAUCAUUAAUUAAUGUUUUAAUGAUCCUUUAUUAUGGAUAAUAAGUUUAAGUUACCUUAGGGAUAACAGCGUAAUUUUUUCGGAAAGUUCUUAUUGAUGAAGUAGUUUGCGACCUCGAUGUUGGAUUAAAAUUAGCUUUAGGCGUAGAAGUUUAAUAGCAAGGUCUGUUCGACCUUUAAUUUUUUACAUGAUCUGAGUUCAAACCGGAG
rnacentral:rRNA from 1 species